AUUGAACGCUGGCGGCAUGCCUUACACAUGCAAGUCGAACGGUAACGGGCCUUCGGGUGCCGACGAGUGGCGAGCGGGUGAGUAAUACAUCGGAACGUGCCCGAUCGUGGGGGAUAACGAGGCGAAAGCUUUGCUAAUACCGCAUACGAUCUACGGAUGAAAGCAGGGGACCGCAAGGCCUUGCGCGGACGGAGCGGCCGAUGGCAGAUUAGGUAGUUGGUGGGAUAAAAGCUUACCAAGCCGACGAUCUGUAGCUGGUCUGAGAGGAUGAUCAGCCACACUGGGACUGAGACACGGCCCAGACUCCUACGGGAGGCAGCAGUGGGGAAUUUUGGACAAUGGGCGCAAGCCUGAUCCAGCCAUGCCGCGUGCAGGAUGAAGGCCUUCGGGUUGUAAACUGCUUUUGUACGGAACGAAAAGCCUUCUUUUAAUACAGGAGGGUCAUGGCGGUACCGUAAGAAUAAGCACCGGCUAACUACGUG
rnacentral:rRNA from 1 species